rnacentral:piRNA from 1 species
UCAAAGCGGACCAAGGCCCGCGGACGGCGC